rnacentral:rRNA from 1 species
AACGAACGCUGGCGGCGCGCUUAACACAUGCAAGUCGAACGAGAAGCUGUAGCAAUACAGUUGUACAGUGGCGAACGGGUGAGGAAUACAUGGGCAACCUACCCUCGAGCGGGGAAUAACCAGCCGGAAGGUUGGCUAAUACCGCGUACGCUUCCGGGUCUGCGGAUUCGGAAGGAAAGCCAUGCCGUGGGUAUGGCGCUCAAGGAUGGGCUCAUGUCCUAUCAGCUUGUUGGUGAGGUAACGGCUCACCAAGGCAACGACGGGUAGCUGGUCUGAGAGGACGAUCAGCCACACUGGCACUGCGACACGGGCCAGAGUCCUACGGGAGGCAGCAGUGAGGAAUAUUGCGCAAUGGGCGAAAGCCUGACGCAGCGACGCCGCGUGGGGGAUGAAGGUCUUCGGAUUGUAAACCCCUUUCGGGAGGGAAGAUGGGACGAGCAAUCGUUCGGACGGUACCUCCAGAAGCAGCCACGGCUAACUUCGUGCCAGCCGCCGCCGUAAGAC